UUCCGUAGGUGACCUGCGGAAGGAUCAUUAUCGAAUAAACUUGAACAGGUUGUUGCUGGCCCCCCACAGGGGUAUGUGCACACUUGUCAAUUCUUAUUUCUCCAACUGUGCACCUAUUGUAGACCUAUGAUUCGUUCGAGUUGGGACUGCUGUGCUUUCAAGUCGGCUUUCCCUUGUCUAUGUCAUCUUCACAAAACAUGUAGAAAAUCCCAUUGAUAUAUAAUCAUAACAACUUUCAGCAACGGAUCUCUUGGCUCUCGCAUCGAUGAAGAACGCAGCGAAAUGCGAUAAGUAAUGUGAAUUGCAGAAUUCAGUGAAUCAUCGAAUCUUUGAACGCAUCUUGCGCUCCUUGGUAUUCCGAGGAGCAUGCCUGUUUGAGUGUCAUUUCAUGUUCUCUCAACCUCAUCUUUUGAUGUGGCUUGGAUGGUGGGGGGUGUGUGCAGGCUUGCCUCGAGCAGGGUCUGCUCCCCUGAAAUGCAUUAGCGGUAUCAUCUUUGUACUGCAGGUGUGAUAAAUUAUCUAUGCCUCUGGUAAUGAUUGUGCUGCUUUAGUGUUGUUGUUCUUGAAAAAAUGA
rnacentral:rRNA from 1 species